rnacentral:rRNA from 1 species
UACGUAGGGGGCAAGCGUUGUCCGGAAUCAUUGGGCGUAAAGAGCGUGUAGGCGGCCCGGUAAGUCCGCUGUGAAAGUCCAGGGCUCAACCCUGGGAUGCCGGUGGAUACUGUCGGGCUCGAGUCCGGAAGAGGAGUGUGGAAUUCCGUGGUGUAGCGGUGAAAUGCGCAGAUAAUCAGGAGGAACACCAAUGGCGAAGGCAGCACUCUGGGACGUGACUGACGCUGAGACGCGAAAGCGUGGGGAGCGAACAG